CCUACGGGAGGCAGCAGUAAGGAAUAUUGCGCAAUGGGCGAAAGCCUGAUGGAGCAACGCCGCGUGGGCGAAGAAGGCCUUCGGGUCGUAAAGCCCUUUUCUAGGGGAAGAUAAUGACGGUACCCUAGGAAUAAGCCACGGCUAACUACGUGCCAGCAGCCGCGGUAAU
rnacentral:rRNA from 1 species